GGAAUUUUUGGCAAUGGGCGAAAGCCUGACCAAGCAACGCCGCGUGGGUGAUGAAGUAUCUCGGUACGUAAAACCCUUUCGACGGGGACGAAACCGCACGGUUGACGGUACCCGUAGAAGCAGCCCCGGCUAACUCCGUGCCCGCCGCCGCGGUAAUACGGGGGGGGCAAGCGUUGUUCGGAAUUACUGGGCGUAAAGGGCGCGUAGGCGGCUUAUUAAGUCGGAUGUGAAAACUCUGGGCUCAACCCAGAGCCUGCAUUCGAAACUGAUGGGCUAGAGUUCUGGAGGGGAAAGCGGAAUUCCUGGUGUAGCGGUGAAAUGCGUAGAUAUCAGGAGGAACACCGGUGGCGAAGGCGGCUUUCUGGACAGAAACUGACGCUGAGGCGCGAAAGCUAGGGGAGCAAAC
rnacentral:rRNA from 1 species